CAGCCGCCGCGGGAACACGGAGGAUCCAAGCGUUAUCCGGAAUCAUUGGGUUUAAAGGGUCCGUAGGCGGUCUUGUAAGUCAGUGGUGAAAGCCCAUCGCUCAACGGUGGAACGGCCAUUGAUACUGCAGGACUUGAAUUAUUGGGAAGUAACUAGAAUAUGUAGUGUAGCGGUGAAAUGCUUAGAGAUUACAUGGAAUACCAAUUGCGAAGGCAGGUUACUACCAAUUGAUUGACGCUGAUGGACGAAAGCGUGGGUAGCGAACAGGAUUAGAUACCCCUGUAGUCCCUGUCUCUUAUAC
rnacentral:rRNA from 1 species